CCUACGGGAGGCUGCAGUGGGGAAUAUUGGACAAUGGGGGGAACCCUGAUCCAGCCAUGCCGCGUGUGUGAAGAAGGCCCUCGGGUUGUAAAGCACUUUCAGUGAGGAAGAACGCCUGGUGGUUAAUACCCAUCAGGAAAGACAUCACUCACAGAAGAAGCACCGGCUAACUCCGUGCCAGCAGCCGCGGUAAUACGGAGGGUGCGAGCGUUAAUCGGAAUUACUGGGCGUAAAGCGCGCGUAGGUGGCUUGAUAAGCCGGUUGUGAAAGCCCCGGGCUCAACCUGGGAACGGCAUCCGGAACUGUCAAGCUAGAGUGCAGGAGAGGAAGGUAGAAUUCCCGGUGUAGCGGUGAAAUGCGUAGAGAUCGGGAGGAAUACCAGUGGCGAAGGCGGCCUUCUGGACUGACCCUGACACUGAGGUGCGAAAGCGUGGGUAGCAAACAGGAUUAGAUACCCUAGUAGUC
rnacentral:rRNA from 1 species